GUUAUCAUGGCUGAGUGGUUAAAGCGAUGGACUAAAAAUCCAUUGGGGUCUCCGCGCGCAGGUUCAAUUCCUGUUGGUAAUG